CCUGAGCCUGCCUCCUCUGCUGCCUCGGGGGAGGUUGAACUUGAACUCUGCGACUCUGUGCAUUGUGAGCGACCAGGAGAACCCACUUCGCUUGUAAACCACUUGCAUCUGCCUCGAGGCUGGAGCUGUGGCCGGGCCUCGGGCUGCCCACCUGGGGCCUGUCUCCUCAGCAGCCCGCUCGGUCUGGGGCCCUGGGGCCCUGGGGCCUGACCGUUGAGGCUGGGAUAGGUGAUCCCGCCCUGGCCCCGAGUCCGGUUCCCAGCGGCCAGGUCCCGUCCUCCCCGCAGCCUCCCCAGCUCGCUUCCAUUCCCCGCUUCCUCCCAGAGGCUCGGCGCGUCUGCCGGCUUCUGGAGCCCACGCCCGCAUCCCACGUCCCUGUGGCCCCUUCGUGUCCCGUGAAGGGUUGAAUCCUUGGCUGCAUUUACCACUGCCAUGAGAUGUUACAGGGGAGGGGAGCGUGUUUUACCUACAAACAGUGAGCGCCCCUCCCUGGAAAAAUGUCCCCUUUCUGUCACAAACGACAGGAUGACUCCAUGGAACGCCUCUCCUCCAGGAUUGGGACCUUUGAGUUUCACCGAAUGUUUCGCUAGAACUGGCCUUUUCACGUGCCCGCCAACUUCACGUUGAAGCCCUCUGGGGUGCGGCACCCCUGUGGCUACAGGACCAAAACCCCACACCAUCUCCCCGCAGAGCCUUGGGAGGUGGGACCGCACUGCGGUGGCCACAGAAGCCACGCCCAGCCCCCACCCCAGCCCUGCCAAAGGCAUCCUGGGCGGCCUCUGCCUCAGGCCACACAGACUCUGAGUACCCCCGGGUGUCUGGGAUGCUCGCAUUGAGGGGGUCACCGCCACCACCCAACACCAGCACAGAUCAAGUGCAAUUAACGCGACCCGGGCCUCUGUCCCUUCAGAAGCCGCUGGAGUCCGGCUCUCAGAGGCCUCGGAGGCGGCCCUGAAGGACUUCAGGAAGCCAGCUGAUCGGCUGAUCGAAUGUAGCUCCUUUUAAAUGCAGAGCUAUGACCAAGUGCCAUAACCACUGUGCCCUCCAGGUCACCGGCCAGGUGGGGGAAGGAGGAGGGACAGGAGGACAGAGGGUCCCCUGCCCCCCCCACCCCAGUGUGCUCCCACACGAUCAGCAGAAUAAACUGUACUGUCUCCUGACCUGCAGUUGCUGCUUAUUUCUGUAUUUCUGGCGGGAGGGCCUGGCAUUGGGACAUGUCACCACUGUCACCAGGGUGCCAUCGUCCCCAGGGGCGAGGAAAUCUUAGACGUCACCAUGGCUGGUGGCCCGCCCAGUAGAUAACCGUGCGUGCAGUGUGGGUGGGGCGAGAAUUUCCUGGAGUGCAGGGCGGGACGGCGAAGACAGGCGAGUGGAGAGCAGGUGGAGAGGCACCCACCUCCCUCCGCGCUCCAGCUGUGUCUUGUCUUGCCUUCAGCACUGAACACGUGUGAUUCUGUCUGCCUCUGUUACAUAAAAAAAAAGUUUCCAGGAAACUGAACCGUGUGCAGAACAGAAUGAGAGGGAACAGACAGGGGUGGCUUCUGUCUCAGCCCUGUCCUCGCUGGCCUGCGACCUUGGUCUGUGAUGACUUCACCUCAGAACUUUUUCUUACGUGUGAGAGAUGGGAUCAGUCACUCUCAGGGGCCCCUUUCAAACAGAAAACUUAGCGGCAGAGCAGGAGGUCGGCUGUAGACGGAAGGUCCUUUGCAAGGCUGGUUGGGGCCUGUGCCUGGUGGGUGGCCUCCAGCCCAGCGUGUGGCUUCCUGCCCCUAGAGGGCGCGCCAUCCCCGUCGGAGGGAGAGUAUCUCCAGCAUGAAUUCUCUGUUACUUGGAAAUACCUUCCAAAGAAGCCAGUUUCCUUACCCUUUGAUUUUGCAAGUGCACCACAAAGAUUUCCAGGACCAGUUUAAAAUCUGAGGAGCUGUUACUGUUAUUUGGAACAACAGCCCCUGAAGACGUUCACAUCCUGAUCCCAGGACCUGAGGACAUGUCACCUCACCAGGUAGAGGGGACUCUGCAGAAUGCCUGCGACCCGCUGACUUGGGCUGCCUGGAAUGCAAGAAUUAGGCAGGCCGACUUCUGAGCAACUCCUCCCUCCACGGGCCUGAGACUCGCUCAUCCUUACAGGAUGGUGCAUCCCAAAAUGUGUCCAACCAGAAGAGGCCUGACAAAGAAGGGCAGGACAGCCUGGAGGCAGCCUCCGGGGGGCCCGUAAGAGAUGUUC